GCUGGCGCGCGGAGUCCUCUGACGGCCUCAGCCAGGGAAUUUCAAUUUGAAACCUACGGGAGGGAGGAGGCGGGUGCUGCGGCCGGCGGCUGGCGCUGAAGCUGUACGGGUCCCCGCGGCGAGCGAGCUCCUGAGUGCGGCGUCCGGAAUAAGCUGUGACCAUGACUACUGAAGUGGGCUCCGCAUCUGAAGUGAAGAAAGAAUCUGACCAGUUAGGCGCAGAUGCAACCAAGGAGAAACCGAAAGAAGUAGCAGAAAAUCAGCAGAAUCAGUCAUCGGAUCCAGAGGAGGAAAAAGGUUCUCAGUCGCCUCCUCCAGCUGAAAGCCAAAGUAGUCCACGCCGCCAGAAGAAAGAGAAAGAUCCAUCUGAGAGCAGGGGCAUUUCUCGAUUCAUACCCCCGUGGCUUAAGAAACAAAAGUCCUAUAACUUAGUAGUGGCCAAAGACGGAGGAGAUAAAAAAGAGGCUACCCAAGCUGUUGGGGAAGAGCAGAUUUUAGAUAAGGAGGAAUCUCUUCCUGAAGAAGAAAGGCAGGCCAAGGGUGAUGCUGAAGAAACAGCCCAGAGAAAACAACAGGAGAUUAAGGUUGACGUCAAGGAAGAGAAACCUCUGCCUGUUGAGGAAGUAAGUAAGGAGAGACAAGAGGAGAAGGUAAAGGAAAUACAGGAGGACAAAUCGGAUGAAGCAGCAAAAAGGGAGACAAAGGAAGUUCAGACCAAUGAGCUAAAAGCAGAGAAGGCCUCUCAGAAAGCCACCAAGAAGACCAAAACUGUUCAGUGCAAAGUGACCCUCCUAGAUGGCACCGAGUACAGCUGUGACCUGGAGAAACGUGCUAAGGGACAAGUGUUAUUUGACAGAGUGUGUGAACAUCUCAAUCUCUUGGAGAAGGACUACUUUGGACUUGUGUUUCAGGAGAACCCUGAGCAGAAAAACUGGCUAGAUCCCGCAAAAGAAAUAAAGAGACAGCUGCGAAAUCUUCCUUGGCUGUUCAGCUUUAAUGUGAAGUUUUAUCCUCCUGAUCCUUCUCAGUUGACUGAAGAUAUCACCAGAUACUUCUUGUGCCUUCAGCUGCGGGAGGACAUUGCCUCAGGCCGCCUGCCCUGCUCUUUUGUGACGCACGCCCUCCUGGGGUCGUACACUCUGCAGGCUGAACUUGGGGACUGUGACCCAGAAGAGCAUGGCAGUCAUGACCUCAGCGACUUCCAGUUUGCCCCUACACAGACGAAGGAACUGGAAGAGAAAGUGGCAGAGCUGCAUAAGACCCACAGGGGUUUAUCUCCAGCACAAGCUGAUUCUCAGUUCUUAGAAAAUGCCAAGAGGCUUUCCAUGUAUGGAGUCGACCUGCAUCAUGCCAAGGACUCAGAAGGCGUGGACAUCAAGCUGGGCGUGUGUGCUAAUGGGCUUCUCAUCUACAAAGACAGACUGAGAAUCAAUCGUUUUGCUUGGCCGAAAAUCCUGAAAAUCUCCUAUAAGCGCAGUAACUUCUACAUUAAAGUUAGGCCAGCAGAGCUGGAACAGUUUGAGAGCACCAUUGGCUUUAAACUGCCAAACCAUCGGGCAGCGAAAAGGUUAUGGAAAGUGUGCGUGGAACAUCAUACUUUCUACAGGCUUGUGUCUCCAGAGCAGCCACCAAAGGCCAAGUUCCUGACCUUGGGGUCCAAAUUCCGCUAUAGCGGCCGUACCCAAGCGCAGACCCGCCAGGCCAGCACCCUCAUUGACAGGCCGGCACCGCACUUUGAACGCACUUCUAGUAAGCGGGUCUCCAGGAGUCUAGAUGGAGCUCUGAUUGGUAUUGUGGACCGAAGUCUUACGAAGGAUUUCCCUGGCCCUGCUGGGGAGCUUUCAGCACGUGGCCCUGGAGCUGUGAGCCCUGCUGUGGUACAAGAUGGUGAUGGCAGCAGGGACAUUAGAAGCCCAACUAAAACCCCACAUGUGCAACUCACUGAAGGAAAGGCGAAGACGGAAGAGGAGGAAACGCAGCUGGAGGAGAAAAAUUCCUUGAGAGUAGAAGGGGAUAAUAUUUAUGUCAGACAUAGCAAUUUAAUGUUGGAGGACCUGGAUAAGGCCCAGGAGGAAAUACUGAAACACCAGGCUAGCAUUAGUGAACUCAAGCGCAAUUUUAUGGAAUCCACACCCGAACCACGCCCUAAUGAAUGGGAAAAACGACGUAUCACACCUCUGUCCCUACAGACACAAGGGAGCAAAGGAGACCAUCUUUUCAAGGAUAUUUUAUCCAUGACGGAGAAGCAUCAGAUGGCGGCCGCAUGGACAGUUGAAGAGAAAGCCCAGGAGGCAGACAAGAGCCUAGAAGAGGAGAUAACAUCAAUUUUGUUUAGUGAAAAGGGCUUUUCUGGUAGCAUGAAAGCCUCCUUCACCUCAGCCACCACUUGGACAGCAGAGGGCACUGUUGUGAACUCCAGUGUGCCUUCUGAAAAGCUUUCUUCCUCGCCCUUCUCACAGUUGCCUGAGAAAUGCGCUCCUGAGUCCGAAGGGCCUUGCGCCGGAGCCAACGAUGCUGUUAAGAGUUCACUUGAGACUCUGAAUAUAGUGGAGGAGAAGAAGCAGGCAGAGGUUGGGAAAGACGAAAGAGUAACCCCGGCAGAGAUGAACGGUAAAGAGCCGUCCCCUGGGCAUGGUCCUGGGGAGAUGCGGAAGGUGGAGCCGGGGACGCAGAAAGACUCCACCUCCCUGUCUUCUGAGAGCAGCAGCGAGAGCGAGGAGGAGGAGGACGUGGGGGAGUACCGGCCCCACCACCGAGUGCCGGAGGGCACCAUCAGGGAGGAACAGGAGGAGUGUGAAGAAGAGGUGGACCAGGCGCCCGGCCAAGCAGCCGAGGUAGUAGAGAGGCAGGACCCAGUGCCGGCAGCCAGCGUGCUCACCCGAGCAGGUGCCAGCGUCGGCACGGUAGAAACAGUGACCCAGGAAAAGGUAGCGGGCCCCCAGAUCCCUGCCCAGAAGAGUGUAAACGAAGGCGCCGUUAAGCAAGACGUGGGCGAAGACACGGAGGACGAGCAACAGAAAGUUAACGGAGAGGUGGCUCCCGUUGACAUUGAUGUUUUGCCGCAGAUUAUCUGUUGUUCAGAGCCACCAGUGGUAAAAACAGAGAUGGUAACAAUUUCUGAUGCCUCACAAAGGACAGAAAUCUCCACCAAGGAAGUCCCUAUUGUCCAAACUGAGACCAAAACCAUCACAUAUGAGUCUCCGCAGAUUGAUGGCGGGGCUGGUGGUGACUCGGGCACGUUACUGACUGCGCAGACCGUCACCUCCGAGUCCGUGUCGACGACGACAACCACACACAUCACCAAGACUGUGAAAGGUGGAAUAUCUGAAACAAGAAUUGAAAAGCGCAUCGUGAUCACGGGAGAUGCAGAUAUUGAUCACGACCAGGCGCUGGCCCAGGCCAUCAGGGAAGCCAGGGAGCAGCACCCCGACAUGUCGGUCACGAGGGUGGUGGUGCACAAAGAAACCAAGCUGGACGAGGGGGAAGAGUAAGAAUCAAGCACAAGUCCUACUGAGUAAUGAAAUAGCCUAAAGCAGACAAUAAGAAAUUCAUUUUAUAGACAACAUUCAACUUUGUGAACCUGAAAAAUUUUGACCAUUCCAAGUCUUAAUGCCACACCACUGCUCCAGCGAAUUUAUACUACGACUGGUAACAAUGGCCAGAAGCCUGAAGAAUUAAAAUGCCAACACCAAACCUUACCUUAACAGCUCUGGUCUAUACCGUUCCCCCGCAUUUUAAUAUAUUAUUUUGUUUUAUAACCACUUCUAAAUAUUCUUGGUUAUUUCUUUUCUUUGUUUUUUGUUUUUUUUUUUUAGUUAGAGAGUUUCGUUUUUUGUUUCCUGUUUACUUUGUGUACAACUACCUGCUUUCUGUGACUCAUUUUGAGCAAAUGAUAGUGAACAAAGCCAGCCCCAGCUGGUAAGGUGCUGUUCACUGGAACAGGUGCUGUUGUGCGGAAAGGAGACUCUGUGACUAAUUCCGAUAGUGGCUUUCCUUCUUCCGGAUGCUUCCCAUUGAGUUCUUACAAGUCAAUAUUUACAGAGUUCUCAGUUUGCAGUAAAUAUACUUGUAUGAGAAAAAAUGCAGAUUAAAGGCGUUUCUUACAUCAUGAAAAUUUUCUAAUGUUUGAGAAUUUCAUUGGGGCUAUUUUUUGAUAUUGAACCCUUUUGACUUUCCAGUACCGUGACUUUUUACUUUUAGCGGAAAGUCCGGGAAUCUCCAAACUGGAGAAUUAUGAUGAAGUUCACUGACCACGCACUGUGUUUAGAGGCCCUGUUGCACCACAGUGCCGAUGCUUCUCAGACACGGACUCUUCGGCAGCAUUCCAGAAAUAGGAGGGGAGAGAAAGCGAUAUCUUCCCUCCUACUAAAAUAUUCAGGCAGCUUAAAAACCUUAGUGCUUUCUUUCUUAACAUGUCCAAAUUUCAGUACUUUCCAUUAUUUGAACACUCGUGUAGAACACUUUGCUUUGUAUUAAACCUCCUUGUCUCCACGUAAAACUGACCUUUUGUUAUCGAGCAGGUGUAUCUCUUUCAGAUAGCGUGAUGAUCCACACAGGUGUGAGGUUGCCGGGGCGAGGAGUUAGGGCCGUGGUGAUUUUUUGACGGUUAUAAGAAGGCUACACCAUUUAAAGCUGACACCAGAGACCUGAUAGGGACUUAUUAACUGUAUUGAACAGUCUUUCUUUUGCUUUGGCCCUAUGUAUAGUUAUGAUGCCAGAUUAGAUUCCUAGCAGCUUCAAGUUGUAUUAAAUGAUAUUUUGCUUUCUGUAAUACUGUUAUAAAAUAAAGUUUGUUUAUUCUCUAAA